GGAGUCAGUUGUUGGCUGUGAGGAAGAGUCAGUGCCUGGAGGAGCUACCUAUGACAAACAUUAAGGAGCUGGCCUGUAUUCCCUCCUCUAAUUACCUGAUGGCAAUGGCAUUCAUCCAGGAGUGAAGGCACCUAACACUCUGAACAGUCUUGAAGAACUUUGGAGGAUGGGAAAGGUCCUACAGCAAUGGCUAUGCUGCUUGCUCUUCCCACCAAAAUAUAAUAAAUAAAUAGAAAAAUAAAA